AGGCUGUUCUUCCCUCUUUGGCGGCUUUGGUUGUGGUAGGGCCCUUGGUCGAUCUUUCCUACCUUCAGGCCGGUGUCGGAUGAGUCUGUUGAGCCGACCUCAUCCGAUGAGCUCCUUGAUCUCAUCUUAGAGCUGAAUACACUCCUCCAUGUCGUGACCGUGGUCACGAUGGUAGAGGCAAAACUUGUUAGGGUUGUGCUUCCGGGGGUGUGUGCUCAUCUUUUCCAGCGUUGGCAGCUGCUCCCUGAUCU
rnacentral:lncRNA from 1 species